CCUACGGGAGGCAGCAGUAGGGAAUCUUCCGCAAUGGACGAAAGUCUGACGGAGCAACGCCGCGUGAGUGAUGAAGGUUUUCGGAUCGUAAAACUCUGUUGUUAGGGAAGACAAGUACCGUUCGAACAGGGCGGUGCCUUGACGGUACCUAACCAGAAAGCCACGGCUAACUACGUGCCAGCAGCCGCGGUAAUACGUAGGUGGCAAGCGUUGUCCGGAAUUAUUGGGCGUAAAGCGCGCGCAGGCGGUUUCUUAAGUCUGAUGUGAAAGCCCCCGGCUCAACCGGGGAGGGUCAUUGGAAACUGGGGAACUUGAGUGCAGAAGAGGAGAGUGGAAUUCCACGUGUAGCGGUGAAAUGCGUAGAGAUGUGGAGGAACACCAGUGGCGAAGGCGACUCUCUGGUCUGUAACUGACGCUGAGGCGCGAAAGCGUGGGGAGCGAACAGGAUUAGAUACCCUGGUAGUC
rnacentral:rRNA from 1 species